rnacentral:piRNA from 1 species
UCCAGAGGUGAAUUAUUCAAAACAACGAGC